rnacentral:rRNA from 1 species
CCUACGGGUGGCAGCAGUGGGGAAUAUUGGGCAAUGGGCGCAAGCCUGACCCAGCAACGCCGCGUGAAGGAAGAAGGCUUUCGGGUUGUAAACUUCUUUUAUCAGGGACGAAGCAAGUGACGGUACCUGAUGAAUAAGCCACGGCUAACUACGUGCCAGCAGCCGCGGUAAUACGUAGGCGGCAAGCGUUAUCCGGAUUUACUGGGUGUAAAGGGCGUGUAGGCGGGAGUGCAAGUCAGAUGUGAAAACUAUGGGAUCAACCCAUAGCCUGCCUUUGAAACUGUACUUCUUGAGUGCUGGUGAGGCAGUCGGAAUGCCGUGUGUAGCGGUGAAAUGCGUAGAGAUACGGAGGAACACCAGUGGCGAAGGCAGAUUGCUGGACAAUAACUGACGCUGAGGCGCGAAAGCGUGGGGAGCAAACAGGAUUAGAUACCCUUGUAGUC